rnacentral:rRNA from 1 species
CAAGUCCGGGGUGAAAUCUUUCGGCUCAACCGGAAAAGUGCCUUUGAUACUGGUCAUCUCGAGGGAGGUAGGGGCAUGUGGAACUUCCGGUGGAGCGGUGAAAUGCGUAGAUAUCGGAAGGAACGCCGGUGGCGAAAGCGACGUGCUGGACCUUUUCUGACGCUGAGGCGCGAAAGCCAGGGGAGCAAACGGGAUUAGAUACCCCGGUAGUCCUGGCCCUAAACGAUGGGUACUGGAUUGUGGACUUGACAUGGGUUCACAGUCGCAGCAAAAGUGUUAAGUACCCCGCCUGGGGAGUAUGGUCGCAAGGCUG